GACGAACGCUGGCGGCGUGCUUAACACAUGCAAGUCGAGCGGUAAGGCCCUUCGGGGUACACGAGCGGCGAACGGGUGAGUAACACGUGAGCAACCUGCCCCCGACUCUGGGAUAAGCGGUGGAAACGCCGUCUAAUACCGGAUACGACCCGCCACCUCAUGGUGUGCGAGUGGAAAGUUUUUUCGGUUGGGGAUGGGCUCGCGGCCUAUCAGCUUGUUGGUGGGGUAAAGGCCUACCAAGGGGAUUACGGGUAGCCGGCCUGAGAGGGCGACCGGCCACACUGGGACUGAGACACGGCCCAGACUCCUGCGGGAGGCAGCAGUGGGGAAUAUUGCACAAUGGGCGAAAGCCUGAUGCAGCGACGCCGCGUGGGGGAUGACGGCCUUCGGGUUGUAAACCUCUUUUACCACUAACGCAGGCUCCACGUUCUCGUGGGGUUGACGGUAGGUGGGGAAUAAGGACCGGCUAACUACGUGCCAGCAGCCGCAGUAA
rnacentral:rRNA from 1 species